rnacentral:rRNA from 1 species
AUUGAACGCUGGCGGCAGGCCUAACACAUGCAAGUCGAACGGUAACAGGAAGAAGCUUGCUUCUUUGCUGACGGGUGGCGGACGGGUGAGUAAUGUCUGGGAAACUGCCUGAUGGAGGGGGAUAACUACUGGAAACGGUAGUUAAUACCGCAUAACGUCGCAAGACCAAAGAGGGGGACCUUCGGGCCUCUUGCCAUCGGAUGUGCCCAGAUGGGAUUAGCUAGUAGGUGGGGUAACGGCUCACCUAGGCGACGAUCCCUAGCUGGUCUGAGAGGAUGACCAGCCACACUGGAACUGAGACACGGUCCAGACUCCUACGGGAGGCAGCAGUGGGGAAUAUUGCACAAUGGGCGCAAGCCUGAUGCAGCCAUGCCGCGUGUAUGAAGAAGGCCUUCGGGUUGUAAAGUACUUUCAGCGGGGAGGAAGGGAGUAAAGUUAAUACCUUUGCUCAUUGACGUUACCCGCAGAAGAAGCACCGGCUAACUCCGUG